rnacentral:lncRNA from 1 species
AAAUGCACUACAAAACAAAACAAUAUAUAAGAUUAUUCAACAGUACAUGUGAGAUUAAAGCAGAAAUAUCACAUACAUGCCUACAGCCAUUCCCACAGCAGGAACCUCUGAGGAAGUGUCGCAAUCUGGUAGUCACCUUCUUUCCAAGUUUGGUGUCAUCAUAGCUUCCAGGAAUUUCUCUCUGGCUGCCCUCUGUCUUUCGUUCAGUUUCUUCCCAAACAGGCCAGAUUGCUCCUCUUCAGGAGAAGAAAUUCCGCUGCGUCUUGACAUCUGGACAGGCUCAUCAGUGACAAGAAGGGAAAACACUUACGACAAGGAAAUAGGAGCCCAAAUGAUUGCCGAGCGGCGACCUGAAAUUUGAAGAAAAAUAGAAUUUCUUAUCUGACGAAAAGUGUCGUGAAUGAUAUUUUCGUCCCAUCGCUCUUCUUGUGAAACAUUUGCGGCGCAUAAAUUAUGCGCUCAGGAGAAGAAUAUGAGAGAGUCUAGUUCGGGGAGUGACGUAAUUUUAGAUGGGAUACGUCUCGUGGCGAGGACCAACGACGACGACGUCUUGCUGCUCCAUGGUGUCCGUUUCUUUUUCCAGUUAGCCAAGCAUCAAUAAUCUUACCCCCCUUGGAAGUUUCAGCUGUUUCGAAAAACUUGGUCCUGCGACAAAAUGUCCUUUUCACAGACCCGUAUGAGGACAUAAUUCAAUAUGGAACCAGCUACAACCCGCGCGACCCAUUGAGGGCCAACACACAAAAAAAAACAGCCUAAGAAGAAGUACAAGAAAGAGCAGACUCGGAUCAAGUAUAUCGAAGCUCCUUUUUCUUUCUAAAUGUAAUAAUAUAUAGUAUAAGGGAGAAAGUCUUUUGAUGAUGGACCCUGCCUGCCCGGUCCCGGUGUCUCUACUCUAUCCCCCCAGCAUGCAGACAUUAUUGUACACACACAGGAGCAGCAGGAGGAGCUGUGGCAGCUGCUGUAAUGCUCAAUACCCCCACCAACCCCCUCUUAUAUUAUAGAAAGGAGGGGGGAAUUUUCAUACACAUACACAAAAAAAAAUCCCGUGCAUGUACGCGUAUGUGUCGCGUUUGGAUGUGUGUGUGUGUGUAUAAAUAGGAAAUGGGGAGCAUUGCAGCAGUUCCAAAUAAAGUGGGUAGUACUACUACUACUACUACGACGUCGUCGUCGUCGUAGUAAAUAUAACCACCUGGCCAUCACCCCUCCCUCCCUCCUAGUUUUUCAAGAGACUUUUCAGCCCGAUAGAUCCGAUUAUGUAAAGAGUUUUUUUUUUUUUAUUUAUUUAUUUCCACCAUUUUAUCGCGCAAGUUCCUAUACACAAUUUCGGAAUUGUUUCACAUCAGCCUUUUUUUUCCUUCGUUCCUCUUACAAAUUUUCACCAGUCGAUUUAUUUUUUCAACCCCAAAAAUAAAUUGUGUUGCGUCUAUCUCUAGAGUCUCUUGCAUAUUAUAACAAUGCGGAAGCAUUUAUUCCCAUUUUCUUAUUAUUCUUCUUGCCAUUAUUAUUUAUUCACCCCUUUUAAUGUAUAUAGAGCACAAUCUCCCUAUAGUUUUUUUUUUAUUAUUAAAUUCAAUAGGUGUGUGUGUAUAGACUCGUGGAAAGUAGACCGUAGAUAACUAGGUGGUACUAUAGCAGUUUGAAUAAAAAAAUUGAAAAGGGGUAGCAGUAGAGUCUUGUUAAAGUGCAGCUUCACACAUGAAGAGAGAAGCUUUCAAGUUCUUUCAAGUCGCUCAUUGAACUAAUCAAAAGCCUCGUUAUGUGCAUUAUACGAUGAUAUAGCGCAUCUCAAUCAAAGCGUGCACACGAGAAGAUGGGAGAGCUAUCUAAAGAAUGAAUAUUAGCAAUUGAAAUUCUCCAGCGCAUAUGUUACCGUCGAAUUUAGUACGUACGAUUCGAGUUCGACCAGACGGAAGAACCCCACGAAGUUUUUUUAAUUUUGUGGUUUAAACUUGAAAUAUAUUAUCGUUUAAGGAAAUUUGUCAUUUCAAGUCGGCCCAAAAUUAGGGGAGGGGUUUUUUGGCGACGGUGAUGGACCGUCACGAACCCAUAUGGUGGAACUUGCACGGUUGACUAUAACAUAUACUAUUUCUAGGGGAAAACUCUGAAAUUCCGGUUUUUGCGGUUGGAAAAAGCUGCGACAGGCGCGCCCAUGUAUAGUUUCACGUCGACCAGACAGAGAGAUUUAUUUACACGAAGAAGAGGGGGGAAAUGAUUUUCCCAUCGAUUGAAUAUAAUCCAACCCAAAAAAGUUUUUUUUUCAAAUCAUUUGGACGCUGCGGUAGAACAUUGUCCGGCCUCUCUACUGCCGACGCCAUUUAUACAUCUUUUAUGUUUUGUGAUUGCGCGAUUGAAUGGCCAUCACACAGUAAAGUCACAGCUAAAGGAAAAAGUGCAUAGGGUGUACCUCUAUAUAUAUAUGUAGGCCAUAGAUAUUUUUCUAUUGAAAUGGGCGCAGGCGCUAUUGAAUAACUUCACAUCGGACCCCUCCUGGGAAAUGGGAAAAGGGAAAAAAACAUUCGUCGACCAACACGAUCGACGUCGACGCUGCUGCCUAUAGCGAAUAGAAUAAAGCAGCGUCGCGGCGUAUAUGAUGAUAUACAUUAUAAAUAUAUUUGUAUCGGAAUUAUUGAUUUUUCCGAUGGCGGGCACAAUAAAAGCCGAGGGGGGAAGCAUCACAACAACAUGGGGAAAAAAUCUGGAAUAAAAUAAAAUAAAGAAGAAAAUGAAAUACUAGAAGAAGACGGGAAAAAAAGGUUCUCACCCAACGUUCAUUCGGAGGAGGGGCGGCCCGGCCUAUUGUGUACAUGUUCCGCUGGAAAAAUAUAAAACGCGGCGCGGUCAAAAACUUGUAUGGAUAACUUUUCUCUUUAUGGACUGCUGCUGCUGCUGCUGGCUUUUCGGAGAUAUAUAUAUAUAUUUUUAUGUGUGUGUUGUUAUUUACUAGGAAUCUGAUCCAGCCGAGGAUUCCGAUUGCAUCCGGGAAAUGAAAUCUAUCAUAAAAAGGGGGAUUUCAAACAGAGAAAAACGACGCGCUACUAUAAUAUGUCACGUAAAAAGGAGCUCAACUUUUGAUUGACACUCGUAACGUUUUUUUCUUCUUAUCCCCUGUCAACAUAAACGGUGAACUCGAUCCGUCGUCCAACUGUAAAAAUCUGGAACAUGUAACGGGAAUUUCCAACUAUAGAAGGAUUCCCGGAGCGAAAGGAACGCCGACCGCUGGAACAAAUAAACCCCGUCGUGAAAAUCGUCUCGUGAUGCACACCGUCUCUUCCCAGCACAGGGGGGAUUAUUGUAUGUCUAUCGUUAAAUGUAAUCUCUUCAUCCAGUUAGAACCGUGUAGACCCUCUAACCAGUUAUUAACUCUAUAUAUUUCUUGAUGAUUGGAACAUGAAGGCUCACAAUGACGAUGAUGAUCAUUACGGUACUGGACACACCUUGACCUCAUAACAGAAAAAGGAUUUCUCCGGCUGGAUAUUUCCAGUCGAUUGAAUUUAAAAAUUUU